AAACAAUUAAACAAAAUUAAGCAUAAAUAUUAAAUAGUUAAUAAUAAUAAUAAUAAUUUCAGUACAACUGAAAAUUAAAAUAAAAAUUUAAAAAACAUUAUUCUUUCAUUCAAUGGACUCAAUCUUUCAACAUAUUGGCAAUGUUAUCAUCCAUGCUAGAACUUUUAUUACACUUCGUUGUAUCAAAUUAUAUUCAAUUUCUUUUAUGCUAAGUUGUUUCUCAUGCCCAUGGCCAUUCCUUUUAUCCUCACUUCUGACUGCACUAGUCAUAGAAAGCUCAUGGAAAUAUUCUUGCGAUUUAUCAACCAGUGACAGAUUUAACAGAUGGCCAAAUUAGUGUUUGCCAAUCAGACCCUGACUUGCAGGUGAUGGCCAAGUCAGGUCAUGUGGAGGGAUAUUUUUAACACAGUCAUAUCUCUAUUUGUCAUUUCAAUUUGCAUCAUUUUUAACUUUACCUCAGUUUUUUUGUUAAUAAUAAUAGGAAAAAAUAAAAGUCUAUUAAAGGUUGGGUCUCAUAAGCAUAAAAUACAAUGUAAAUACCUCUGUAUAUUGAUAUUGACGAUGCUACUUCCACUAUAUGUUAGACUAACUGCUAUAUGAGCUGGUUAUUAAAAUUUUGUUGUUCUCUGAAACAAUAUAUGUC
rnacentral:lncRNA from 1 species